rnacentral:lncRNA from 1 species
UCAUCCUUGGAUUUGGUAGACUUGGGUGUGUCACCAGUGUCCUCAUUUUUGGAUUUGUUGCCUACUUUUGAAGUGACAUCCUCCUUGGAUUUGGUAGACUUGGGUGUGUCACCAGUGUCCUCAUUUUUGGAUUUGUUGCCUACUCUUGAAGCGACAUCAUCCUUGGAUUUGGUAGACUUGGGUGUAUCACCAGUGUCCUCAUUUUUGGAUUUGUUGCCUACUUUUGAAGCGCCAUCAACUGAUCUACUACCAUUUUUAGGGGUAUGCUGCUUGGCUUUGGUAACAUUUUCUGAUUUAGCCACACUCUUGGAGCUAUCCUCUUUACCAUCUUCCUUCGUUUUUUGACCAGACUUUGUGACAGCACCCUUGGAUUUUCCAGAUGAAGCACCUCCA